rnacentral:rRNA from 1 species
CCUACGGGAGGCAGCAGUAGGGAAUAUUGCUCAAUGGGGGAAACCCUGAAGCAGCAACGCCGCGUGGAGGAUGAAGGUUUUAGGAUUGUAAACUCUUUUUGUUAGAGAAGCUUAUGACCGUCUCUAACGAAUAAGCACCGGCUAACUCCGUGCCAGCAGCCGCGGUAACACGGCGGGUGCAAGCGUUACUCGGAAUCACUGGGCGUAAAGGGUGCGUAGGCGGGGUAAUAAGUCAGAUGUGAAAUCCUGUAGCUUAACUACAGAACUGCAUUUGAAACUGUUGCUCUGGAGUGUGCGAGAGGUAGGUGGAAUGCGUGGUGUAGGGGUAAAAUCCAUAGAGAUCAAGAAGAAUACUCAUUGCGAAGGCGACCUGCUGGAACAUUACUGACGCUGAUGCACGAAAGCGUGGGGAGCAAACAGGAUUAGAUACCCUAGUAGUC